CCUACGGGAGGCUGCAGUGGGGAAUCUUGCGCAAUGGGCGAAAGCCUGACGCAGCGACGCCGCGUGAGGGAUGACGGCCUUCGGGUUGUAAACCUCUUUCGCGCGAGAAACGGUAGGGGCAGAAGAAGCACCGGCCAACUACGUGCCAGCAGCCGCGGUAAUACGUAGGGUGCAAGCGUUGUCCGGAAUUAUUGGGCGUAAAGAGCUCGUAGGCGGUCUGUCGCGUCGGCUGUGAAAACUCGGGGCUCAACCCCGAGCUUGCAGUCGAUACGGGCAGGCUAGAGUGCGGCAGGGGAGACUGGAAUUCCUGGUGUAGCGGUGAAAUGCGCAGAUAUCAUGAGGAACACCGGUGGCGAAGGCGGGUCUCUGUGCGAACUGACGCUGAGGAGCGAAAGCGUGGGGAGCAAACAGGAUUAGAUACCCUAGUAGUC
rnacentral:rRNA from 1 species